UUCCUUACUCUGGCCUUUUGGCUUAGAUCGAGUAUAGUAUGUUCUUUUUAGUUCAACCACUAAAAUGGCCGCACAGCGAUCACUUCUGGUUAUCUUAUUUUUGCCGCCCAGUCCUUCAACCUCUGCCUGUAUGCUGAGGGGUACGAUGACUUUGCUAUUGUAGCAAAGGCUUGUAUCGUCAUGGGAUU
rnacentral:snRNA from 1 species